rnacentral:rRNA from 1 species
UACGUAGGGGGCAAGCGUUGUCCGGAAUCAUUGGGCGUAAAGAGCGUGUAGGCGGCCUGGUAAGUCCGCUGUGAAAGUCCAGGGCUCAACCCUGGAAUGCCGGUGGAAACUGUCAGGCUCGAGUCCGGAAGAGGCGAGUGGAAUUCCUGGUGUAGCGGUGAAAUGCGCAGAUAUCAGGAGGAACACCAAUGGCGAAGGCAGCUCGCUGGGACGGUACUGACGCUGAGACGCGAAAGCAUGGGGAGCGAACAGG